CAUUAGGCACAACAACCAAGAGCAAAUGUUGGAUUCAAAACCAUCUUUUAAUCUUUUGCUUGAUUUUCUCAACAAAAUUGGUUGGUUCAUUAAUUUGUACAAGAGAAGCAAUUUAUCUCAUGAAAUUCGAAGACAGGGAGGGCAAGAAGAAGAAAUUGAAGGCAUGCAUGCAAUUAGCUCGAGGAUGGAGGAACAAAUUAUUGAAAGGAAAAAAAACUUGUUAUUACAGAAAGUAGGCA